UCGGGAAUUUUGGACAAUGGGCGAAAGCCUGAUCCAGCCAUGCCGCGUGAGUGACGAAGGCCUUAGGGUUGUAAAACUCUUUCGUCGGGGACGAUAAUGACGGUACCCGAAGAAGAAGCUCCGGCUAACUUCGUGCCAGCAGCCGCGGUAAUACGAAGGGAGCUAGCGUUGUUCGGAAUCACUGGGCGUAAAGCGCACGUAGGCGGAUAGUUAAGUCAGGGGUGAAAUCCUGGGGCUCAACCCCAGAACUGCCUUUGAUACUGGCUGUCUCGAGGUCGAGAGAGGUUGGUGGAAUUCCUAGUGUAGAGGUGAAAUUCGUAGAUAUUAGGAAGAACACCAGUGGCGAAGGCGGCUAACUGGUCCGGUACUGACGCUGAGGCGCGAAAGCGUGGGGAGCAAACAGGAUUAGAUACCCUCGUAGUCCCUGAGCGGGCUGGCAAGGCGCAU
rnacentral:rRNA from 1 species